CUUCAGUUAUUCCGGCAUAAGUUUCCGUGCCUAACUUUAAUCGUCCGUCUUAUUUAAAAUAUUUUUUAAAAAAAUUAAAAACAUAAGUCAUGCAUAAAGUAAUAUUCAUGUUUUAUCAUUUCUUAACAACAAAAAUACUAAUUAUAAAAAAAUUUAAAUAAGACAGAUGAUUAAAAUUGGGCACGGAAACUAGUUGCACUUAAA
rfam:Oryza sativa Japonica Group DNA, chromosome 11, cultivar: Nipponbare, complete sequence.